rnacentral:rRNA from 1 species
CCUACGGGAGGCAACAGUGGGGGAUAUUGCACAAUGGGGGGAACCCUGAUGCAGCGACGCCGCGUGGGUGCAGGAGCGUUUCGGCGCGUAAAGCCCUAUCGGCAGGGAAGAAGAUGACGGUACAUGACCAAGAAGCCCCGGCUAACUACGUGCCAGCAGCCGCGGGAAUACGUAGGGGGCAAGCGUUAUCCGGAUUUACUGGGUGUAAAGGGGGCGCAGACGGCAAUGCAAGCCAGGAGUGAAAGACCGGGGCCCAACCCCGGGACUGCUGUUGAAACUGCAUGGCUGGAGUACAGGAGGGGCAGGCGGAAUUCCUAGUGUAGCGGUGAAAUGCGUAGAUAUUAGGAGGAACACCGGUGGCGAAGGCAGCCUGCUGGACUGUGACUGACGUUGAGGCCCGAAGGCGUGGGGAGCAAACAGGAUUAGAUACCCCUGUAGUC